AGAUGUAUUAACUCGUAAAGCAGCUGUGAUCAUUAUCGGUGAUAGAAAUUCACAUUUAACAAUCUGUAACUAAUUCGAGUCACGAUUAGGUCACUAGUGACGCUGCUGAAGAAUUGACACGAAGUCACAAAUAAGUUGCGAACGCAAAUAUAGGAGGAAUAGAAGAGGAAUAAAUACUAAACGU